rnacentral:misc_RNA from 1 species
UGAUUAAUCGAGCGUGUCUUCAUUGCCGCUCACCCUUCUUAACCAUCCAUAUCCACCUUGGUGCACUGUUAGCUGAGCCGGUUUCUUUUCCGUCAAGUUAUAAAAUGAUCAGACCAAACAUAACUAUUCUUAAUGAACUGUGAAACUAUUAUGAAUAACAUAAUAA